UAGUUCUCCUCACAUCGUCACCUACCUUCCCCACCCUUAUCCAUUCACUAUCUCCCCACUACUCUCCAUGGCACAAGCCCAGAGCUCUCUACCUCCUCGGGCCGCCCCUCCUCUUCGUCCCCACCGCCGGCGCGAGGACUCGCACUCUCCCCACUCUUCUCAGCCCCUCCUCGUCGAAUCAGUCGCCGAAUUGCCCGAGGAUCCGCUCGAGCUCGGCAUGGUCGUUGGGUGCGGGGCGAAGGCCGACGCAGAGGCGCGGGACUCGUCUCCAUCAGAUCGGCGGGCGUGGAAAUCAUGCGUCGCAACCUCCGCGCCCGGUGCCUUCCUCUCCAUCUCGCCCGUCGGCGGCUCGCACAACCCUUUGCUGUGCCCUGCCCUGCCCAGAUACGGCAGCAGUGCCGCGGUGGCUGGUCCCCUCCAAGUGCAAGCCGGCGCCAUUAGAAAAUCCAUUCCCCACUUCAGCUUUCAUAUCUGCUUAUUUCUGAUUUGAGUUACUCCCCAUUACCCACUUCUGCUAAUCCCUAAUUGCUAUCCAUUCCUGUAUAGUACAUAUGUAGCUCAGUACUCUAGGUUUAAGCAUGAGAGUCAUUUUAGAAUAGGGGAGAAAAAUUAGAAGUUGGGGUGAUCCUAUUUUGGUCUGCCUAAUCUUGGAGUAAGUUGUUCGAUUAGACAUUCUUAACUUAGUUGCAGCAACUGUUAUGAGUGGGGAUUCUAGUUAGUUAAUAUUCUUCAGGCAACCAUGCUACGAUAAAGCUGAUUGAUUGGUGGAUUAGAAUUCUAGGUGGCUAGGGGGGAUAGGGACCAAGACAGAUGAGGUUGAUUUGGCUUGAUCCUGCCAAAGAAAUUUACUUCUAUUUUGAAAAAUGAACACAUGUUCUUAGAUGUGCAGGGUUAAGUUUACAAAUGCGAGGUUUAUAGAAAAUCAAAGGGGAUCAAGAGAAGCAUAGUACGAUAAUACAAUAGGAUAAGCAUGUAUGACUGUAGGAUAAUACAGUUUGAAGAAUGAUGAUGGUAUGGUUCUCAUAUAGAGGACGAUGGUUGGCUCAAAGAGUUUAUCACCUCAAAAAUUUCCUUUCUUGGAAUAACUUGCCUUAUUAGAAGUCCAUAAACAUCUCUGGCAUCUUCAGUACUACUUACGGCAGCUGCACAAGUGUUAUUCAUGAUAUAGCACAACCUUUUAGAUAUAUUUCUUGUUGUCCCGGACCCCCUGUUAAAACAGAAGUGCUUUUGCAGGCUUACAAGAAAUGUAUUUUGAAGACCAUCUAACUAUCUAAGAGUCAUGGAAUUCGUUCCAUCCUAUAUUUUUGGGACUCUGGAAUAAACACAAAGAUGGGAAUGGGGAUGCAUACCUGCCUGCCAUACACAUUGACAGGUUUUCAAUACUCAUCCCGAAGCUUUUAAGCGUUGUACAAAAGAAGUAAUUGACAGGUUUACUUCAUGAUAGUCUUGGGUUUGGUUUGGCCAAAAUGAUCAGGCAAGUGCGUUGCCUGAGGAGUUCGUCGGCGCCUACGUCGUCGGCCGCGGAAGGGGGCGAUGGCCAAAACUGGCUGGGCGGCGACGGCGCAACAGUGGCUUGCGGCGCCGAUGUCUCACUGCAGUGUGCGUUUGAAUAGCGACAUCGAAGAAAGACACUGAGAUUAACUGGGAUGGAACUGGCCACAUAUUGCGCACAAGAGGAUAGUCCGCACCUGCUUUCGCGAGAAGCUCUUCGGCGCGGUCGUCGUCCGCUGUGCAUGGCUGCGAUGGCGCAGGACAGCCUCUGCGGCUGCGACGUACUUCCGGGUGGGCAAGGGCAGGAAGAUCCAUCUGAUUCCCGUAAGUUUAGCCACUUGUUGUUAGGCGGACGUGUUUAAUUGCCGUUAAUUAUGGCUAAUUUUCCGUAGUUUAGCCAUUUUGUUGUUAGGACGUGAACAGAAUUGGUGGAACCGUUUCAAUCUUGUGCGAGCGUGGGUCCGGCACAGUUUUCGUCCGCCAAGUUCUCUUGUUUAAUAGUAGUGUAGAAAAGCUUCGGUUCGUGCCUUAAAUACACGCCAAAUCAUUAGAUGGAUCACAUGGCUGACAGUACAUAUAUACUAGCAAUGCCCGCGCGGCGACACGCCGCGCCCUGCCGAUACGUCAUGGUUGUAAAUGUCGUCCUUGUUACAUGCUAUAUAUUUUACUUUGAAGAGAAGUAUAUGAAUAAGAUUGUGAUCAUAAAA